GUAGGUGGCAAGCGUUGUCCGGAAUUAUUGGGCGUAAAGCGCGCGCAGGCGGUCCUUUAAGUCUGAUGUGAAAGCCCACGGCUCAACCGUGGAGGGUCAUUGGAAACUGGGGGACUUGAGUACAGAAGAGGAAAGCGGAAUUCCAAGUGUAGCGGUGAAAUGCGUAGAGAUUUGGAGGAACACCAGUGGCGAAGGCGGCUUUCUGGUCUGUAACUGACGCUGAGGCGCGAAAGCGUGGGGAGCAAACAGGGAUUAGAUACCCUGGUAGUCCACGCCGUAAACGAUGAGUGCUAAGUGUUAGGGGGUUUCCCGCCCCUUAGUGCUGCAGCUAACGCAUUAAGCACGCCGCCUGGGGAUACGGCCGCAAGGCUG
rnacentral:rRNA from 1 species